AUGACGAUUGAAGAUCAAUUUUCAAGCUGACCUGUAAGGACUAAAUUAAAGUUUAUUUGACGCGUCUCGACAACAGAACUCUAGUCUUCACUUGGACAGCUUCAGAAUGUGUUUAAGCUCUUUGAUUUUUCUCGUAUUCGCAAGCCGUAGUCCGUAGACUUCAAUGCCUACGAUAAGGCCAGGGUAGCGAUAAGGCCGUUUUCGAGGUGCGUGCAUUUGGAAAGGCUCGUGCUCUGUCCAUCGCUGAAAAAUAAUAAAAUCUACACAUUUCAAUUUAUGAUUGGAAAGCACUUAAUGUUUCGAGUUAUUUUGUAAGGUCUUUAAAAUAUUCCGGGUUUUACGUUACCUUUAAUUACGGCCAAUGGAGUGCACCGACCAUUUCCGAGUGUUGUGAAAGCUGUUGGAAAUAGUGUGCUGCUGAUGGCCGAUUUAAAAUGCUAUUUGGUCGCGGUUGUUGAAGAAGACGGUGAGAUUAAAAAGACUGAAGAAAUACUAUAUCGCUGAACAUGCCCACCAACAGCCAGGCAAAUACCGCUUCGGCACCAGAGGGCAGCGGAACACCGGCUGUCAAUGGAGCACCAUCGGGCAGCGGAGCACCAUCGGGCAACGGAGCACCGGCCGCCGGUGACGCGCCGGCCGUCCCCAAACCUGGCUGCUGCGGUGACCACGGGCCAACCGCAUGCAUCGGGGGACUAUGGACCUCCCGUGAAAUGACUGACAUGGAGGACCGUGAAAUUGUUGUUCGCACCAACCUGCGCGAGCUGAUCGUCUACCUAGUGUUCCUGGCGGUCGUCAGCAUCCUGGCUGUGAGCACAACUUCACCUACCAUGUUCUACUUCACAAAAGCUCUGUCCGAGCUCUUUUUGGACGCCUCUUUUGCCGACUCCGAUGGGAAUUUCAAGGAAUCGACUCAAAUACUGGAUUUUUGGAGAUUUGUGGAGGGUCCCCUGGUGGAUGGCCUCUACUGGGAGACGUGGUAUGACCUGGAGCAGACCAAGCUGGACGACAGCGAGGGUGGCAUCGACAUCCUCUACGAGAACCGGCUGCUCGGAGUACCCAGAAUGCGGCAGCUGCAGGUACGCAGCGACUCGUGUCGCGUGGCCGACGACAUGCGCGCCAUCAUCAAGGAGUGCUACGCCGAGUACAGCUGGCUGACCGAGGUCAACUACAACGACUCUAUCGGCACCGGCAACGGCACCGGCUGGCGCUACUGUCCGGAGGACGAGUUGGAGGGACACCCGUUCUGGGGUGAGAUCAGCACCUAUUCGGGAGGCGGCGCAUACGUGGAUUUGUCACACAAACGAAACGAGACUGUGGAUAUGCUGGCCCGCCUCCGCCGCGACCUAUGGAUCGGCCGAGGGACCCGUGCCAUCUUCAUCGACUUCACAGUCUACAACGCAAACAUCAACCUCUUCUGCAUCAUCAAACUGGUGUUCGAGCUGCCCGCCACGGGCGGCAUGAUUCCGUCGUCGUCCUUCCGCACGGUCAAGCUGCUCCGCUACGUUAACCCGUACGACUACUUCGUGAUGGCGUGCGAGUGGGUGUUCAUCCUGUUCACCGUCUACUACAUCAUAGAGGAGAUGUUGGAGUUUCAUGGACAAAAGACGAAAUAUUUCAAGCAUUUCUGGAACCACCUCGACAUGCUAAUGAUUUUGAUUUCCAUUCUUUGUAUCGGCUUCUCUAUCCAUUGCACGAAGGCCGUCAGCGAUAAAAUCGAACUUCUACUGAAAGAUGAUUUGCAGUAUCCCAACUUUGAGCAGCUGGGCUUCUUCCAAACGCAGUUCACCAGCGCCGCGGCACUCUGCGUGUUCUUCGCCUGGGUGAAGCUGUUCAAAUACAUUAGCUUCAACAAGACCAUGAACCAGCUGAGCAGCACUCUGUCCAGGUGCGCACGAGAUAUCAUGGGCUUCGCGAUUAUGUUCUUUAUCGUCUUCUUCGCCUUCGCUCAGCUCGGGUAUCUUCUCUUCGGUACUCAGGUUCGCGACUUCAGCACAUUCACCCGAGCCACGUUCACUCUGCUGCGAACUAUCCUCGGAGAUUUCGACUUUCACGAGAUAGAAGCGGCCAACCGGAUCCUGGGACCGAUCUUCUUCCUCAGCUACGUGUUCUUCGUCUUCUUUGUGCUGAUGAACAUGUUCCUCGCAAUCAUAAACGACACAUACAGUGAGGUAAAGAGCGAUCCGUCAGCGCACAAAAACGAGUUCGAAGUGGCCGACUACUUCAAACGGGGAUACAACAAUGUAAAAGGGAAACUGGGCAAGCGUGACCGUCUGAUUGACCUGGAGACGGCGCUGAAGCUGAUCGAACAGGAGGAGGACGGCAGCUAUUCGCUGGACAUGGUGUGGCACACCAUGAAAAGGUGCAACUUUUCGGACCAGGAGAUAGACCUGUUCUUCGACCAGUACCACCUGGGCGGUGACGGUGCUCCCGUGCCCAAGCCGCCAGAGGCUGACGACGAGGAGGAAAAACCACAGAUUGACGUGGUGCGUCUGCACCGGAUCGUGUUCGGUAACCUGUCGCGGGAGGCGGCCGCCGCCAAGCUGCGCGGCUCGCCCGUCGCCGCCGCCCGGCACCGCGACUCCGAGGCCGGCGGCGACACAGAGAUCGAGGACGCCGAGUACGGCGACUACGACGACUAUGAUGACUAUGACGACUACGACGACUACUACGACCAGCCCGGCGUCAGCCCCGAGGAGUUCACCGAGGUGACUGAGCGGCUGGAUCGACUCGAGAAGAGCCUCACCACCAUCACCUCCAAGAUCGACUCGCUGCUGAAGACUGCGGGCGGAGGCGGAGCGUCGCCCUCCCCCUCCCCAGCACGGCCGCAGUGAUCAGGCACCGCUGAGGCGGCAGGCUCUCACGGAAGUCAAAGUGUAAUCGGCUGCGCAUAUUCGCGAGAUGUUUGAUGUCACAACGCAUCACGAUCACCAUGCUUCUGAUGCAAAUGAACCCAGGAUUGUGUUUUAAUUAGCACAGUUUUAAGUGAGCCGUUAGCCACCUAAUAGCUGGCGUAUUAACCGUUAACGUGGAUGUUAACGUUUUGCUAUGAUUCAUCGUUGUUCUGAAGAAUGCCUACCGAUUGUAUCCAUAUGACGAUAUCAAAUGGUAAAAGUGUUCUGCGGCCGCAUGUUAUUUCGGUUGAAUAAACACAUCAGCCCUUUU
rnacentral:misc_RNA from 1 species